UUGGGACUGAGACACGGCCCAAACUCCUACGGGAGGCAGCAGUGGGGAAUCUUGCACAAUGGAGGAAACUCUGAUGCAGCGAUGCCGCGUGAGUGAAGAAGGCCCUUGGGUUGUAAAGCUCUUUCGUCGGGGAAGAAAAUGACUGUACCCGAAUAAGAAGGUCCGGCUAACUUCGUGCCAGCAGCCGCGGUAAUACGAAGGGACCUAGCGUAGUUCGGAAUUACUGGGCUUAAAGAGUUCGUAGGUGGUUGAAAAAGUUGGUGGUGAAAUCCCAGAGCUUAACUCUGGAACUGCCAUCAAAACUUUUCAGCUAGAGUAUGAUAGAGGAAAGCAGAAUUUCUAGUGUAGAGGUGAAAUUCGUAGAUAUUAGAAAGAAUACCAAUUGCGAAGGCAGCUUUCUGGAUCAUUACUGACACUGAGGAACGAAAGCAUGGGUAGCGAAGAGGAUUAGAUACCCUCGUAGUCCAUGCCGUAAACGAUGUGUGUUAGACGUUGGAAAUUUAUUUUCAGUGUCGCAGCGAAAGCGAUAAACACACCGCCUGGGGAGUACGACCGCAAGGUUAAAACUCAAAUGAAUUGACGGGGACCCGCACAAGUAGUGGAGCAUGUGGUUUAAUUCGAAGAUACGCGCAGAACCUUACCAACACUUGACAUGUUCGUCGCGACUUUAAGAGAUUAAAGUUUUCGGUUCGGCCGGACGAAACACAGGUGCUGCAUGGCUGUCGUCAGCUCGUGUCGUGAGAUGUUGGGUUAAGUCCCGCAACGAGCGCAACCCUCACUUUUAGUUGCCAUCAUUAAGUUGGGCACUCUGAAAGAACUGCCAGUGAUAAGCUGGAG
rnacentral:rRNA from 1 species